rnacentral:rRNA from 1 species
UACGUAGGGGGCCAGCGUUGCUCGGAAUUACUGGGCGUAAAGGGUCCGUAGGCGGUGUGGCAAGUCGGGAGUGAAAUCUCUGGGCUUAGCUCAGAGGCUGCUUCCGAAACUGCCGUGCUAGAGUGUGAGAGAGGCGAGUGGAAUUGCGGGUGUAGCGGUGAAAUGCGUAGAUAUCCGCAGGAACAUCCGAGGCGAAAGCGGCUCGCUGGAUCACAACUGACGCUGAGGGACGAAAGCUAGGGGAGCAAACAGG